UGUUGGUGUUUGUUCGUUUAUUACAAGGAGGGAGCUGCCAGCUCGCAGCUCCCUCCUUAUAAUAUGUAAAAACAGAAGCGUAAGGGAGCUGUGUUCCCCGCCACUUCCUAACCCCCCCAUGUCCUCCCUCACUCUAUGGGGGUCAAUAUGACCUCCAUAAUAGCAUUAGGGCGAUUAAAAUGCCACGAGUAGGGGCAUGUCACCUAAACAGUAAGGUCCCCC